rnacentral:rRNA from 1 species
GUACCUACGGGACGCAGCAGUGGGGGAUAUUGCACAAUGGGGGAAACCCUGAUGCAGCGACGCCGCGUGGGCGAAGAAGUAUUUCGGUAUGUAAAGCCCUAUCAGCAGGGAAGAAGAAAUGACGGUACCUGAGUAAGAAGCACCGGCUAAAUACGUGCCAGCAGCCGCGGUAAUACGUAUGGGGCAAGCGUUAUCCGGAUUUACUGGGUGUAAAGGGAGCGUAGACGGAUAAGCAAGUCUGAUGUGAAAAUCCGGGGCCCAACCCCGGAAUUGCAUUGGAAACUGCAUAUCUAGAGUGUCGGAGG